rnacentral:misc_RNA from 1 species
UCGGAGUACCGAACGAACGUCCUUCUAAUCCGCAAUGUAGCCAAGGACCAAAACCAAUUUUAUUGAGGAACCAAUCGUUUGAGGUAUACCAUUAUGAUGCCGAAAUCGCUCUUCUGGCGAAUUUCUUUUCUUUGCAAGACAAAUGCAGUUGGUUUUCUUCUUAUCUGGAUUUUAACGGCUUGCUGUUUCAUCUUAUUCCGCCUUUGGGUGGACUUCGGGAUAGGCGCAGGCGAUCGCACAAGUGAAUCAUCUCAUACACAGCCAAGAUUGCAACAAUUUCAUGGAGACAUGAAGCGGAUAUUAUUCUGGAAUGAAUAUUUCCAGUCGAAGAAUUACGAAUUCGGAUUGGGACACGAGCCUUUUGUCAAGGCUGGCUGCCAGUUUAGCAACUGCGUGACAACAGACGAUCGAAAACUUUUAAAUGUUAGUGACGCAGUUCUUUUUCACGCCAUGGAUUUCGACGAAUUAGAUUUCCCCAGUUUAGUCAUCCGCCGUUCGGAUCAGCGCUUCAUCUUCUACAAUUACGAGACGUGCGUCGGAGAAAAAGACAUGCCCGUUUUCGUUUGGACCAAGGACUUUUUCAACUGGACUAUGACUUACCGGCGUGACUCGGACAUUUAUGAUCCACAUCCGUACGGAUCAAUCCGGAGGCGAAGUGACGUUCUUCGGCCAUCGCUCGUUAUGCCAAGAGCUCUACACCCGGAAAUGACACCCGCUUAUCCGGCCGCUUUGAUUCAACCGUGGAACAAGUCGCGGUCGUUAGUGACUAAAAAAACCAAAAUGGUCGCCUGGUUUGUCUCCCACUGCCACACUGACGGCCUCAGAGAAGAAUAUUUUGGCCAACUUGGCAAAUAUGUUGGGAUUGACGUUUACGGCCGGUGUGGCAAGUUGAAUUGUUUGCCGUCGAGGAGUUCAAAGUGCGAUCAGCUGCUAGACAGCUACAAGUUUUACGUGGCAGCCGAGAACGCCAUCUGCACCGACUACGUCACAGAGAAAUUCUACCGGGCAUUGUCAUCCGACAUUGUGCCCAUCGUCUACGGUGGUGCCGAUUACUCCUCGUACGCUCCACCUUUAUCUUACAUUGACGUCAGCGAUUUCAAAUCUCCCAAAGAUUUAGCCGAUUAUUUAAAGUUGCUGGACGAAAACGACGGCCUCUACUUGAAAUAUUUUGACUGGAAAAAAGAUUACGAAGUAGUCAGUCGGCCUGUGACGGGUUGGUGCGAACUUUGCGAGAAGCUCAACGAUCCUCACCAGAGACCCAAAGUGUACAAAGACAUUAGCGAUUGGUGGUUUCAAAACGAUAUGGCUUGUGUUUCCGGGGGUAAUUUCCUUUCAGGCUCUCUUGGCGUUGAUCUUCGCCAACGUCCAUUGAAGUCAAUUUAAUACAUUCAGUCACAUAUGCUAUCCCAUUAAAGAAAAUCCACAUAGGAAAAUCCUACCCAUUCCUUCCGAGCUCAUUCUCGCGCUCGUACUUGCUCUAGUGCCGAUCGAUAUGGUACGAAGAUGGCGCCAGGGGCAGCAUAUAGCCGACGGGAGUAGCGGCAGCGGUGUACAGCCGAAGGGAGGAGGUACACCAUGAGCGCCAUAGCCAGCAUAUGCGAAACCGGGACUCCGGGAGCAGCGGCGUAGGAAAGUCCAUUGAAUCCGACACAAGGCAAGACUGAGGAGCAGCGGCGACGGCAGCCACCAAAACAGCCAAAAUCAUCUACAAGGAAACAAACAACAGACAAAUGAUUUCAAUUUCAGUAGAAACGGCCAAGUCGAUUUAAUUCAAUCUGGCAACCGAGAGUAAGGGAAUGGGGAAACAAAACGAAAGCCAGUAGCAGACGACGCACCUUGCUCACUCUCGCUGCUAACGACUGCAGGGUUAAGAGCUCUCCCCACUUUAACGGUCUGGUGGAUGGCGACUCAUCAUUAAUCUAAAACACAAACACCAAUACAAUCUUGGCCUUCAGCCACAUAUACUACAACCACAAACCAUUAACCACAAAAUGGAAGCUGGUGACGCUAGGCGUAGGCGCGCGGCACAAUUUCGUGUGCUUUUGCUGCUUCUCUUUUUUCAUAAUCCAGUCUCAACUUAAGUGCUUCGUUUUCCUUGAUCAAAAUUUCUAUUAAUUCGUAAUUUGACUUUAACUUCUCUCUUAUUUCUUUCAAUUGCUUUUGCAGAGCAGCAAUUAACUUCAUUGACUGUUUGUGUGUGUACUGCAUUACUUGACUGUCAUCAUACGUCAAAUCGUCUGUCAAAAGAAUUAUGCCUUGAUCCUAGAAAAUACAAGUUAAAAAAUUAAGUUAGUAGUUUAAAAAUCUUCGGUUUGGUUUGCCUAUAAUAACAAAAUAUAGGCCUUUAAAACACUAUUAAUAAUAUUCGAUUAAUAAGAUGAUACUUGCUGUUGAAAACCUGUAAAUGUAUGGACAUUUUUUUCACUCAAAAUAACCUUCUUGUGCUCUGUGCCAAAAAAUUGUACGAGGUACUUCUUUUUUGUAAUUCCAAGAAUCUAAAUGGUAGAAAAUAAAAUGUAACAAUCAGAUAAAAAAUCGCAAUAAAUUUCAACUACUUUGACAGGCCAGGGUGAAAAUUGUUGCGCUGUUGUAAAGAUAUGUGAGUUGUAUCAAACAUCUCCAGUCAAUCAAUCAUUCCCCUCCAAUCGCAACACAUACCUGCUGUCGAAUAGCUCUAAAUGGCUUGAAAUUUGUUUGAAUUCAAAACAAUCUUGUCGUGUUUCGUGCCAAAAAAUUGAACAUGGUAGUUUUUUUUAUUAUGCCUAGAACCCUCAAUGUUCUUUUUGCAAAUUCGUGUUUUUUCCUGUGAACACAAUGUGAUUCCCAGGGAAAGUUUUCUAGAUCGUUACGAACAAUCACUAUUACCAUGUAGAAUUAUCAGGGAUAAUUCCCUACCAGAUUUCUCUGGGCGGUUCUUUCGUCGGUGAUCAGGAGUCUUGGAUCUUGGUGCUAUCUUGCAAGCGACUCGAAUGUCUUUCCUCUUGGGUGUCCCCUCCGUUAUGAUCUUAAUGCGCAGCGCCUCAAGGUCAGACUCUGUGGCCGUGCUUGCUGAUGGGACCGGCUGGGAUGUACUGGAGUCGGUGUUCAAUUUCUUGGGGAGUGAUUUCCCUUUCGUGGGUUUCUCUUUCGGCGGAGUGAUCCGUGUUAGGACCGGGC